UCGAGAAAAAAUAACAAAUUAGUCGAUAACAUAAAGCUGUUGGAUUUGGUAAUUAUCAAUGAGCUUUGUUGAUCAUCCAAGCAUGUAACUGUAUCAACCAUCGAGUGGACAUGUCACCCGAAUCGUCGAUGAGCUUUGUUGAUCAUCCAAGCAUGUAACUGUAUCAGCCAUCGAGUCCAGCAGAUACCUGACCAUGCCUGGUGCUCUAUCGAUGUAAGGCCAGAUGAUGGGGAUAACAAUAGAAUUUACAGAAAGGAUGAUGCAAAUAAGCGAAGGAUGUCACAACUGGGAGCAUGGGUGACGCUGAGCUGGGUGACGCUGAGCGAGCGAAGACGAAUCAACAGCACCCGUAAGAUUGGUUGUGAGAGAAAGAUCAGUAUUGUUGGCUAUGGAAGGUGCCGAGAAACCCGAUUGACGAUUCUCGACACUAUAUCGCCGGCGACCAUACCGAAAACAGAGCGACGAGUUCAAAUCGGAAAGAAUCGACACAUGAAGAUCACUUUUAGGAGGGAUCUAGAACAUGUACCUGUUGAAUCUCGUAUUUUGAUGAUGAAACUACUUGAUAUAUGUUUAUGAUUUAAUCUGCGUUUUGAGUGACGCAGGAUGCUUCGAUCAGGAUGAGACAAUUAAAGCAGGAAAAUCAUGUUGUGCCGAAGGAACAUGUCAGAAGAUUGGACGUCGGGCCGGUGGAUCGGUCGACGUAUCGACAGAAGGCUUCGGGCCGUGAACUCGGGCAUCGGGCCAAGAAGAGCGGGUAUUGUGCCAAGGAUAUCAGAGUUGCGAAGUCAACUGGCCGAUUGGGCAAUAGGCUGCAGGAGAGAACGAUGCGCCGAAGAAUCGGACGAAGCGUCGAGGGACCAAUGACAUGUCGGACAACUUGGUUAAUUGCUUAGGAUUAAUUGUCUCGAUCGAAGUUUUGUUUUGUUGUGCAGGAUUAACUACGAUAAGAGUAAGACAAGCAGCCAGGAGUUGCGCCGGAGUCAAGAUCAUGAUCACGUUGGGAGUUCGAGAGUUCGACGGAAGUUCGGACGGUCGUCGGAGGUUCAGAGAGAACAGAUCCGAGAAGUCCAGAAGCUUGCCAAGCGAAGCUCGUCGGAACUCGCCAAGUGGAUCGUCGCAAAGUCCAGGAGUAUGCCGGAUGUCCGCAGAAGGAUCACCGAAGGUUAUCGGUUGAUCGACGGAAGUUGGCCGGAAACUCGCCGGAAGAAGCGAUUGACGCAUCGGAGCAAAGCUGCAGAAGUUGUCUUAGAGAUAUUCGUAGUUAGCACGAUGAUUAAGCAUGAAAAUGGGAGGUGAUCCCAUUAGCUUAAUCUUGGGGCAAUUGGGCCCCUGAAAAGAUUCAAAGUGGGUCGAAUGGAGUGAACCAUUCGGACCCUGAUUGCACCAGGAGGUGCAACCGCCCCAGCCAGGAGGUGCAACCGCCUGGGCUGUGGGGUUGAGAGGUGCAACCGCCCCAGCCAGGAGGUGCAACCGCCAGGGUUGCAAGGCUGGGAGGUGCAACCGCCCCAGCCAGGAGGUGCAACCGCCAGGGUUGCAAGGCUGGGAGGUGCAACCGCUCCAGCCAAGAGGUUGCACCGCCAGAGCUCAAGUUCCGAGCUCUGCCAGGCGAUGCAACCACCGAGCUCAGUCUUCGAGCUCUGGCAGAGUGGUGCAUCAGCCUGAGCUCAGUCUCGAGCUUUGCCAGGUGAUGCAUUCACCAAGCUCAGUCUUCGAGCUCUGGCAGAAUGGUGCAUCAGCUUGAGCUCAGUUUGGAGCUCUGCCAAGUGAUGCAACCACCAAGCUCAGUCUUCGAGCUCUGCCAGGCGAUGCAACCAUCGAGCUCAGUCUUCGAGCUCUGGCAGAGAGAAGCAAUCGGCAGAGCUCAGUCUUCGAGCUCUGCCAGGCGGUGCCACCUCUCCAGUCGAGAGGUGCAACCGCCUGAUCCCAGAAUUCUGGGAUUUGAUCGAUUUGAUCGUUUUGAGCUCGAAUUUUGAAUUGGGUUGGGGCCUAUAAAUACCCCACCCAUUCAGCACUGAAAAGAUAACAGACCAAUACCGAAAUAUUGAUCUUUUCUGUGAUUCUAAGAGCUCAAAAGUGUUGUAAAGUCUUUAAGUCUCCUCCUUCUGUUCUUCAAGUUUUUGAUUGUAAAGUGAGGAGAGAAAGGUCUGUAAAGGUUGUCUCCUGAGCCUGUCAAAAGGAGAGAAACUGUAAAAGGGCAGUUAGCCUUCACCCAUUGAAGGAAGGCCCCUAGUUGACGUCGGCAACCUCGUCGGUGGAGGAAGCCAAAAGUGGAGUAGGUCAAGGCUGACCGAACCACUCUAAAUCUCUGGUUUGCGUUUAUUUUCGAGCACUUUAUCAUUACUGCAAACCUCCUUCAUUGCUACUGCUCUCUGCGCUUUCACGAACAAAUUCUAAGUGCUGUUCUUCCAAAUCUGCAUUCAGACGUAAAUUCGUAUUUUCGUACAUUACAGUUUACGUUUACGUUUGAUUCUGCAGAACUGUCUUCCGUGCUUUUACGAACGAGUUUCUUUGCAGUUUACGCUUACAUUUUAAUCCUAUUAAUAACUGCAAUCUGUCCUCUAUGAUCUUACGAACGAGUUUCAACAUUUAGACGCAAAACUGCAUUCAGACGUAAAUCGGCUUUUCUCGCUCAAUCGUCAGAUUUCAGUUCACGUUUACGUCUUGAUUUCAACUGCAUACUGCCUUCUGCGAGUAUACAAACAAGUUUCAAAGUUUAGACGUAAAUCUGCGUUUAGACGUAAAUCUGCGUUUAGACGUAAAACUACGUUUAGACGUAAAUCUGCGUUUAGACGUAAAACUGCGUUUAGACGUAAAACUGCGUUUAGACGUAAAACUGCGUUUAGACGUAAAUCUGCGUUUAGACGUAAAUCUGCGUUUAGACGUAAAUCUGCGUUUAGACGUAAAUCUGAGUUUAGACGCAAAACUGCACUUAGACGCAAAACUGCGCUUAGAUGCAAAACUGCGCUUAGAUGCAAAACUGCGCUUAGACGCAAAACUGCGCUUAAACGCAAUCUGCGCUUAGACGCAAACUGCACUUAGAUACAAACUGAGAAUUUGCUUUUGCAUCAUAAUAGUUUUUGAACGAACGCAGCUUUUGGUUCUUAAUCGCUGUAAGAUUUCCGCUGCACUAAUUCACCCCCCCCCCUCUUAGUGCUCUCGAUCCUA
rnacentral:lncRNA from 1 species